rnacentral:lncRNA from 1 species
CCACAAUUUUCCUUACCAUCCAGCUAGCAUUAGCUGGGAUAGUAAGGUUCUCCAACUGGUGAUGUUUGAUAUAAACAGUAUGGAUCCAUUUCACUCACAACAAAUCUUUCUUAUGAGCUAAAUCCCAACUUAGUUUAGCUAUGGCAGCUUUGUUCCACAAUGAGAUAUUUGUUAAGUUCAAACCUCCAACAGACUUAGGCAUACACACUUUCU